UUUUCUUCGCCGGCACAGCUCUGUGACAAUGGAAUCAUAGCUGGCUGGCGAAGAAAUGC
rnacentral:pre_miRNA from 1 species